ACAGAGGGUCCGAGUGCGUGGAUCCUGCGCCGCGUGAUCUAGUCUAUCAUUACACGUAAGACGACGAAGAACGCAUUUCUGAAUUCGAGUUACUUCGAAGUCAACAGUUUUGUGUUUUCAUAUAUAAUAAUAACGUUUACAAUCAAAAAUAAAAUUCCAAGCAUUAUAGCAAAAUCUCGUUCAAAACAUUCGCAAAUUAUAAUAAUUCAAGCAUUAAGCGUGCUGUCUAUACCAACCAAAAAAUGCCACAAGCGGCCCACGAGACGCAGAAUAUUUUGAUGACGUAUUUCAUUCUUAUACUUCUAUUAAUCUCACUUUGGGUAUUAUACUCGGGGUUAUUCUUUUAACUACAACAGACAUUCCUCAUUAUGGGCUGAAAAACAGAGAAGACAUGCUUGUCAAAAGGCGGAUGCAUUCGAAGGAUCCAAGAUGGACACUUCAUUCGCAAAGCUUACCAUUAUUUACUAUAUUUUCCUUUGGUGCCUGAAGAUAAAUGCUUUAUACAAAUCGCUUUCGAACUCUUAGUGGCCGGUUUUUACGAUGAAAAUGAUUUAACAACAUAUAUACACCAGAAAACGAAAUGAUUUGAAAAGGCUUACUUCUAUUAUCUUGUAUUUUGUAUUUUUUGCUGCUCUAUCGUGAAAAUUGGCCAUCUAAUAAAAAUUAAUUACUUAUA